UACGGAGGGUCCAAGCGUUAUCCGGAAUCAUUGGGUUUAAAGGGUCCGUAGGCGGUUUUGUAAGUCAGUGGUGAAAGCCCAUCGCUCAACGGUGGAACGGCCAUUGAUACUGCAAGACUUGAAUUAUUGGGAAGUAACUAGAAUAUGUAGUGUAGCGGUGAAAUGCUUAGAGAUUACAUGGAAUACCAAUUGCGAAGGCAGGUUACUACCAAUAUAUUGAGCGCUG
rnacentral:rRNA from 1 species